ACCAGUGUGGUGUAGUGGUUUGAGCUGUUUGACUAGGACUCCAGAGACCAGGGUUGGAAUCCCUGUUCAGCUA